GCGGAUAUGGCGGAAUUGGCAGACGCGCCAGAUUUAGGUUCUGGUGUCAGCAGACGUGCAGGUUCAAGUCCUGUUAUCCGCA
rnacentral:tRNA from 3 species